rnacentral:rRNA from 1 species
CCUACGGGUGGCAGCAGUGGGGAAUAUUGCGCAAUGGAGGAAACCCUGAUCCAGCAACGCCGCGUGAGUGAAGAAGGAAUUCGGUAUGUAAAGCUCUUUCCUCAGGGAAGAAAAUGACGGUACCUGAGUAAGAAGCCCCGGCUAACUACGUGCCAGCAGCCGCGGUAAUACGUAGGGGGCGAGCGUUAUCCGGAUUUACUGGGUGUAAAGGGAGCGUAGACGGCUGUGCAAGUCUGAAGUGAAAGGCGGGGGCUUAACCCCAGGACGGCUAUGGAAACUGUACGGCUGGAGUGCAGGAGAGGCAAGUGGAAUUCCUAGUGUAGCGGUGAAAUGCGUAGAUAUUAGGAGGAACACCAGUGGCGAAGGCGGCUUACUGGACAGUAACUGACGUUGAGGCUCGAAAGCGUGGGGAGCAAACAGGAUUAGAUACCCCGGUAGUC